GGACCAGAGUUCACUUCCUGUGUGGAUAACAGGAAGGAGGGAGGUGAAAAUUCAGGGAGACUUAAUCACUUCUUCAUUGCUUAUGAAAAGAGAGACUUGUGAACUUGCUUUGGGAGAGAGUUUGGAAAUCCUCAAAGGGGCUGUGACUCACACAAAGAAACAAAUGCUGGUGCUCUUCAUGCAUUCAUUUGGACCAGUGACACACAGUAUCAGAAUCCUACAUGCUUUAUUAUGAAGAUCCUUAACCUUAUAUGUGUGCUCUUCUGCAUAGCCUUUUUGUUUACUCCAGGAACUGGAAAUACAAUUAAAACAGAAAAAGAAUGUCACGCUGCUGAUGGCUAUUGCAAGAUGGGGGAAUGUUUAUAUCCUAAAUUUAAGCUCAUUGGAUUCUGUAGGAAAGUUUUUUAUUGCUGCAAAAAGAAUGUACAAAGGAACAAUAGGAUUGGCAUGAAUCAUAAAUUAAUGCAUGUGUGGUUGCGUAAGCGUAACAAUGAUAUGUUUGGGAGCAACUAGCUAUGUGAAAAUCACUGAAGGAAGUAUCAUGCAGUAAAAAAAUACAAACCUAAAAUUAAUGGUUGAAUGAUUCAGCUCUGGGUUUGAAUACCAAGAAAAAUAAUAAUUGGAACAGCAGCCACUAGAUUCAUUAUCAGAGCAUCUGUUUGUCUCC